CUUCUACCCUCAUACUGGCCAAGUCUCCGGGAAUGGAUCCAUGCCGCCGCGUGCUUUCGAACAAUCCUGCACCAUGUGUCCUGCUAUUUCCCCCUAGUCUCGCCAUCUGGGUGCGUUCUUCUUCUACCCGUGGAGCCGAAUUCUCCGCCCUUCNAAUU
rnacentral:rRNA from 1 species